CCUCCCAAGCCGUAGUUUCUAUUUUUAUUCUGUUUAAAUAUGUACACGUGAUGUGGACGCCGACGUCUCUUUGGAGAUGUGAAUUUAUGCUUUGGAUGAAUAAUUCAAUUAUACAAACACGUUGGACUUUGACGUCAUCAGUGGUCGACCAGAACAAAAACAUGGCGGAAAGUCAUUCGGCUUGACUUCGAAUACUCAACCUAAAGAAUCCUCAGAAGUGUCUGGACCGGACAAAUUUACUUUUUUUUGGGUUGAGGAGGACGAGGAAGGGAGUCCUAUCCCAAAGAGGAGGAGAACAGGGAAGAAGCGGGCAAAGAGUUCAUCCUCAGUGACUUCUGGGAGCAUGCACUCAUUGCCAUGUGCUCCAUCUACAAGUGGACAUCAGCACGUGACUGAGACCGUUCAAGAUAUAUAUUUUAGCAGCAGUUUAUUUACCCUCUUCUUUCCAUGUUUGUCUUAUUGCUGCUAUAUUUGGUUACCUUACCCUGUUUUCUAGGAUCCCUCAUUCAAGAGGUGCAGGACCUUUUGGGACCUGCCAUAGACCCAGCACCUUCACACUGGAAAGACAGGAAAGCUUCAACUCUGGAAAAGUGGACUGUGUUAAGGCCGUAUAUGGUUAAUCAGAUGUUACAGUCUGAGAAGCCUAUAGAGGGAACUUGUCACCACUGCAGAUCUAAGACUGCUGUUGUGAAAUGUCAGGAUUGUUUGCCUAGACCACUUCACUGUGCAGCCUGUGAUGUUUCCAUCCACAAUUCCAUGGUUUUCCAUAAUAGAUCAUCCAUGAUAGAGGGAUUCUACAGGCCACUGCCACCAACCACUCACAUCAGGGAAGAGAAGGGAGGAAAAUUCUCCUUCCAUGAAAGAGAGUGCAUUUUGCCAGUAAUGCAUCCAUGCUAUGACUGCUGCUCUGGGCAAACAACCUUUUCUGCAGGAAAGCAAGUAAUUCUGAUUGGAAUGAAUGGUCGAUACAAUGUGUCCCUCCCAACUGUCAGCUGCUCCUGUGGGAAAGCUUUGGAUGUCGGUAUUAGUGAGCUGAUUGAAAGUGGCUACUGGCCAGCUACAGUCCAUUUUGAGACGCUGUACACAGUGGAUUUGUUCGCUACAUACGAAGAGCUCAAGAUUACUGCACCAGGAAUGUAACGACAAGCUUUCGUUGGUAUGCUUGAGCAGCGCACAAAACUCUUUGGUCGGGUUAGUACAUCAUUGGACUAAUUGCCUGCAGAAUUGAAAGAGUUUAUGUGGCGACACCAUACAAAAAUCAUUCCUGGAAUGGUCGUACGCAAAAUUUGAAGUUGAGAGGCUGUCUGAAGUCGAUCAGUUUCGGUGCCCAGCCUGCACACCCUCAAUGUUACCUGUCUCAGUGGAUGGGAACCGCAAGCUUUAUCGCUUUAAGAGCCAUUCAGGGUAUGUAUAAGUUGUUUCUACGGCAUGCAAUACAUGGAACCUUGAUAAAGGUCACCCCUGCUUUAUGUCUUUUAGACCAAAUAGCUUUUUCGAAGGUGUCUUCUUGGCCAACGACACCGAAGUGACCUCCUUCGUCAACCACAUCAGGGCAUCAACAGGACAUAAUCCUGGGAAAGGCAGGUGUGGUGGAAGCGAAUGGGUGGCUUCACGAGAGUCCUCCAACAAGUCUGCGAGUAAAGUAGAUGAGGAACGGGUCGAGGUUGCAGUGUGUCGUCAUGGCAUUUUGCUGAAGGGACUGAACAUGUUCCGUGGGGAGAUAUUUGCCUAUCCUUUAUAUCUCCAGAAACAGCUUGUUUCACACAAUGUUCAGUUUUUUUGCUCUGAUGUGGUAUGCAAAUAUUGACCAUAUUUGCAGAGGGUUGUUGGCCACUGUCCUGAGUUACAGGUCCUGUUGAACAUGCAGCCCUUUCUCUCCAUCAUGCACGCUAAAGCACAUUCAUGGAUGUGUGAGGUAAUGAUUGUCAGGGGCUUUAAUGCAUAUUUCUUUCACUUGGAAUGGGGUGGACGGAACCAAGAGGGAGCAGGAACAACAAUAGGGGAGGAAGUUGAACAGGUGAACAGUUUCCUUUCUUGAGCAGCCCUAUGUUCCAAGUACAUGUCAAAAGCUGGUAAGUACAUUUUUUUUUUGUGUGAAAAAAAAGUUACAGCUAAAGUUGUACAAAUCAACUAGUAACAUAAAUGUGUGUCCAUUGUGCAUUCAGCCCGCACAGACAUCCUUACCAUCCAGGCCAUUGGCUGGAACAAGCGGAAGACAGAAAAUCUUGACCGGACUUUGGCCAAACGACACAUCAAGACUGUGCAGAGGAUUGCUGAAGCGUCUGAGGAGCUCAAGAAAUUGGCUGGAGAGUUGUCUAUUCAGGAAGACACUGUUCAGCAAUGGGUGUCUGAUGUUCAACAGUGGACUGCAGAAGGACCAUGCAGUCAAAAUGAACUUGAAAAAACCAUUGAAGGACUGUAUCUCAGCAUUAAGCAGCGGAAAUAUCAGCUGUAUCGUCAGGCUGAUGGCAACAAGAGAAGACAUCUGCUUAGAAAAAAGAUUUCAGUGGAAAAGAGAUCCUUAGAAGAUGCCAUCACAAAAUACAAUGCUGUUGUGCCAGAAACUGGCAAACUCCCUUCUCCCAACAAGCUCCUGGCUGAGGAAAACUAUUCCUGGCCUUGGGAAUAUGAAGCAAUUACAGGUUUGACCGAGGUUGCUGUGAUUGGAUCAGACAAGCUCCAGAGACAACUUCCUUUUUACUUUUGAAAACUGAAAGAGACACUCUUCUAUAUAAUUCUGUCCCAUGGGAGAAAUUGCCUGGUGUCAUUAGGAGGAGAUGAGUAUGCAGUGUAAUAGAACCCACCUCUGAAAGUACACAGACACUGUGGGCAGUAGUUCACCACUAUAAAAAAUGUAUAUGAUGAUUUGCAGGUCAUGGUGAUAUGUUUAAGAAAAAAAAGGUCUUCGACAAGGUAAUGCUGCUGAACCACCUGAAGGAAGAGGAGGUCAUUGUUGUCCGUGAAGUCAAGCAGCACUGGGAGUACAUGAGGAAUAUGGCUGGAAAUAUUGAAGAGAUUUCCUCCCAGCUUUCAGAAGGGAUCACUCAGCAAAGCGGCACAGAUGCAUUGACUGGGAGAGGACGUGAGGGGCUACUCUUGUCUGCUGAAGAGAAGACUGUCAGCAAUUCAAGCUCAGCAGGGUGCAGCUCGCUCAACGUACCAACGUGUUUUUGGAUCGCAAGCCUUGUCUCUCGAUGAUUCGUCCACUGGUGAUGAAGAACCCCAUGAUAGCAGCUCCUCCACCGAAGAUGAAGAACACUACGAUUGUAGCUCCUCUUCUGAACUUUGACCUCCCUCAUUAAAAAAUUAGGAAAACUGUUGUUAUUGUUGAUUACCUGGCCUGCAGUAUGAAUGUGAAAUGUUAAAAUAAACUGUCCUGCAAUUGACUCUUUUUCUGAGUUAUGUACUAUUACUAUUUUGAAGUAGAUGCUGAUGCUUUUUAUGUAAAUUAUGAAUUAUUAAUUUGAGAUUUGUUGGUAGGGCAGUGAAAUACGGCUUUUCAUGCAGCCUCA